rnacentral:rRNA from 1 species
UGCGUAGGCGGAUAAAUAAGUCAGUGGUGAAAUCUUUCGGCUCAACCGAGAAACUGCCAUUGAUACUGUUAGUCUUGAGUUCGGUUGAGGUAGGCGGAAUGUGUAAUGUAGCGGUGAAAUGCUUAGAUAUUACACAGAACACCAAUUGCGUAGGCAGCUUACUAGACCGACACUGACGCUGAGGCACGAAAGCAUGGGGAGCGAACAGGAUUAGAUACCCUGGUAGUCC